CAUCGCGAUGCUCUUCAGAGAUGGAGAGAUCGUGAUGAGGAUACUUUCGAAACGCCAACUCAAGGAGCUGGUUCUUUACUCGCCGCAACACGUUGCACGUCUGGAACAGGCCGGCCUGUUCAACAAGCGGGUACAGCUGGGCCUCAACAGAGUGGGAUGGGUUGAGGACGAGAUUUUGGACUGGCUACAACAACGGUUGGACCAAUGAACGGACGCCUGACCGACACUCCUCACGUAGGAGUAUGGGUGGCCGGACGUGCACAGUUC
rnacentral:ncRNA from 1 species